GGGCCAGUGGCGCAAUGGAUGAAGCAUCCGAUUUCGAAUCGGAAGAUUGUAGGUUCGAUUCGUACCUAGCUCG
rnacentral:tRNA from 1 species